GUCAGAGGAAUACAGUCGUAGUUCGCGACAUCGUGUCGCAACUACUGCAUGACCCGCAUCGUGCGGG
rnacentral:sRNA from 1 species